rnacentral:rRNA from 1 species
GACGAACGCUGGCGGCGUGCUUAACACAUGCAAGUCGAACGGACAGGCCCUGCUUUUGUGGGGUGCUCGAGUGGCGAACGGGUGUGUAACACGUGAGUAACCUGCCCUUGACUUUGGGAUAACUUCAGGAAACUGGGGCUAAUACCGGAUAGGAUCUCCUGCUGCAUGUGGGGCGUUGGAAAGUUUCGGCGGUUGGGGCUGGACUCGCGGCUUAUGCGCUAGAUGGUGGGGUAGGUGCUUUCCAAGGCUUUGACGGGUAGCCGGCCUGAGAGGCGGACCGGGGACAUGGGGACUAAGAGACGCACCAGUAGGCUACGGGAGGCAGAAGGGGGGAAUAUUGCACAGUGGGCGGAAGCCUGAUGCAGCGACGCCCCGUGCGGGAUGACGGCCUUCGGGUUGUAAACAGCUUUCGCCGGUGACGAAGCGUGAGUGACGGUAAUGGGUAAAGAAGCACCGGCUAACUACGUG